CUAGGAAUAAGAAUAGUAUUUCUUUUGGUGGGGAGGAAGCAUAAUGAUUUUGAGCUUUGAGGAGUUUCAAUGGGUUAUUGUUGCUUGUUUUUUUCUUUCCUUUUUUAACAAGACUCCAGACCACCAAGUCCUACCAUGACACACACUUCCUAUCUGCAAUGGCAGAUAUUUAUAUUUCAAAUGAAAUAAAAAUUAUAAUUAAUUUUCUUUUGAAAGUUUUUUUUGAAUUUUGUUUUUUUAAGAUCUAUGAGGCAAUUGGAGAUACCCCAGGCUAUCACAAAACUAGGGCUGGGAAUCACUGCUUUAGUGAUUAGCACUUUGUAAGCCUUCAAAAAAUAUUAAAACCAGGAUAGAUUGUCUAAUUUCUUGUGGGUGGAUUCACUUUAGUAUAAUGUAAUGUGUUAACAAAUGCUCAGAGAGGAGGUUGUGGAUCCAGAAAGAUGGCUUUUGUAGAAGGCUUUUAUCCAAAUUAAUUCAAAGAAUAACAGGAACAGUUGUGUAUUGGGGCAGAAGGAAUAAGGUGACUCAAUUAAAUGAUAGAGAAAUCUCCAGGAAAAAAAUUGUCUCAUGUCAACCCAAUACUAACAAUAAAAUUCUCAUUACUGAAAUCGAUAAUCCUGUAAUAAAUGCAUAAUAACUUCAAAAAGGAUUCUUUUAUUAAGUAUUUUUUGUAUGAUUGGCUAUGCACCAAAUAUUGAAAUCAAAUACUGCUUUGCUUUACUUUAAGAAUGAUAAAAUUCCCUACCUACCAUGUCUCUAAAGAGAAUCUUAAAUGAGAAGCUUCAAAAGCGUAAUUUGCAAAUAAAUUCACCUGCUGAAUUUGCGCCCGAAACUCCUAUAUUUACCUAAUUCAUUUUUGGCUUUUGCUUAGCUCUAGCCAUGGUGACACUGUGAGAAAUGAAUGUCAAGUUCUCCUGGGUUGCUGGAAUGUUUGCACAAGGCAGCAGUGAAGAAGUAAGGGCAGUGCAAGCCCCAGGGUUUGGGUCCCACUCGGCUGGGGGUCUUGGGGGUGUUGGUCUUCUGCAAAGCUCGAAGAACCAGUGUGUGGUCUGGCUAAUGGGUACUGCUAGCCUGUUGCCACUUCAUGGAUCUGGAAAGACAUUUCAGUCCUUCUCCACAUUCGGAGCUGGGCAUAGAGCACUUGGUAGCUCUGGAUUGGCAGAGUUCAGGAUCUGUGUACUUGAUACCAAAACCGAGCUCAGCUGUGUAGCUUUCUGAGCUAGAUUAAGGACAUUUUCAUAGUGUUCACCGCUACACAACUGUAUCUGCAGUUUGAGAAGAAAUUUGAGUAACUUAGGAAACAUUCUGGGAGAGAAUAUGCUGCCCUGAGAACACUUCUGUUUUUUUGGCAGUGGCGUCUGUUUUGAGCUUCCUGAACUUUUUCUGCCUGGUGUUCUGCAGGGAAUUUUGUAUUCCAGAAGAUAGGCCAGGCUGCCUUCCCGGGUCUGAAGCCUCUAGAAGGUGCUCGGAUAGAAUAGAGACUUCCUCAGCCUGUUUUCAGGAGAUAAUUUCCCCUCACCUGGUGGUGGGUUUGUGUCUGGUUAACAUUACAGUUGUUCUGCAUAUAUUUUCCCUAGAACGUCUCCUGUGCAAUCAGGGUCGUUACUUCCUUUAAAAGAGGAAUAUCCAUCAUAUCUCAAUAAACCUAAAAAGAGUGAGAGUGCAGGAGAGGGGUGACUGAUAUUAUUUGGAGAAGGAUCGCUCUCAUUUUUACCUUUCUCUAUGUCUACCGGCUUGACCUAUACCACUAAGAAAAGGGAGGAGACUCCGCAUGCCCAUGAAGAUGCUGUGGUCCUGAAGGUGCCGGCCUUGAAUUAUGUAGAAGGGAGUGAUGGAGCUUUUUGGAUUGGUCCCAUUCUGCUUUGAGCUACUGUGGCUUUCAGUGUGCGGUUCAGUUCAUUGGCACCAGAUGCCGAAGAAACGAAGGUCAAGGGUGUGAGCCUCACUUGGGCCAGGAGGCUGCGUACUUUUCCAACAGGUUGUGUGGCGAUUCAGUCUGGUCACGGUAGAAAUGCUGGCCUGAAAGGGGGCUGGUGAACAUGUGAGUGAUUGGGUGAAAAGCCAGCCCCAUUCCCGGAAAAGCAAAGCCGGAGCCCUACUGUCAUUUUUCCAACUGGAGAGAAUGUACCACUUAAAAUGUGAGCUUGUUACUCAACCUCCCUGUGUCUCUGUGUCCUCAUCUGGAGAAUGGAGAUAAGAUUUGCUCGCUUUCUACCUCACCAGGAUCUGAGAAGAUUAGAUAAUGGCUGUAAAGUCCUUCUACAAAGGUAUGAGCAUUAUCAUAAACAAGGAGAUUAGUCAACAAAUAAAGAAAAAAUUUUCUUAAAGGACCUCCCAAAGUGUAUUGCCUAAUCAUUUUUGAUUCAGUAUCAGUAGUUUGCAGUCCCCCCCGCCCCACCUUUCGAGUUUGGUUUAGCUGCAAAAAGUUAGGUGUGAAUGUUUGACCUUUCUAGUUGUUUAGAAGGUGAAAACAUUGUUUGAUAGCAAAAAUUUCUAUUAAUCAAAACAAAGUGGGCUUUGAAUCCGACACAGGUUUUCUUUGAAAAAGGAGGUGAGGGCAAACGUCUCUAGGAACAUAUGUGCCACUGAGGAAUAUUUGCAUGCAUUUGAUCUGCAAGCGCGCUUCGGUGAUUUUCACAGUCUACCUUGGAGUUUAAGUUGUUGCCGUCGCUCAGCGGCACCGUCCUCUCUCUCCAGCUUUAUUAUGGCACACAGCGACAACUUCAUUUUUAGCAUUAAAAAAAAAUCCUCUUCACUUAAUUCAGACAGUGACCUGCAGGCCUCAUUCUGACUGAAGGAGCCAUUCAGAAUACUUGCAGACAAAAGCAGGGCUUUUUCCUAGCAACCAGAUCAAAGCCAAAUCUCCCAGAAUAGCUCCCUCCCAGGUUUUCUUUGGCGCAUAGGUUCACAAGGCUCGUGGUAUCCAGUUCAAACUACUCUUUCAAACUGAAAUGGAAAGGAAAACUCCUGAGGAAUUUUCGCAGACUCUGAAAACUGGCGAGCGUUGCGAGGGCACUUAAUCUUGGGAGAACACGGUGGUCAUUUGGAGCAUCCCUAACUUUGUUAUCGCCGCAUCUGCAUGAACAUUCUGUCGGACUUCCACAGAAUGAGGUCUCUGUUUCCUUUCUGCCAGUACCUAAUAUCAGCUAUGCCCAGGAGCCGGCUGAUGAAGACUUCCUGUUUGUUUUGAGUCACUGUUAGAGUGAUAAAUAUACUUUAGCUUUCUGCUUCGAGAGGAAAGAAACCAGCUGCCCUGAACUACAGAGAAAAAUGCAGAAAUUCCACUGAAUGGCCCUGUUAUCAUGGAGCUUCAAGGGCAGCAUCAAAAUGAAAACUAUAAGCCAGGGCAAAGUAAAUAAUUUCCAUAUUAAAGCAUCGUGCUGCAUGCUUGGAACUAAGUUGUUUGUCUUUAAUCAUUUAGGCGAGCGUUGCAUUUUUCACUCUUCCAAGGCCAACUCAGCGAUGUUUAGAGAUUUUUGAAAAUGUAAACUUACGCUACAGAAUAAUGGUGAGCUAUAUAAAUAAACAAUUAUAGUUGUGGUUUUUGAUCUGACCACAAGCUUUUAAUGCCAUUUUUGCAUGAGCAUAUAAUGCUUCUGGAUAAAUGAUAAUGUUUAUAUUGUCAGUGGCAUCCACUGUUGUACUGAGUCAUUUACAUAUGUGAUUAUUUGGAUAUAGAGUAAUGCAAGAACAAAAGAACACUAUAAAAUGAUUGAAAACAAGACCAACAGGAAAUCCUUUAUAGCUUAAAUAGCACUUCUUAAAUAAAGCCAUGGAGUUUUUGUGUUUU